rnacentral:lncRNA from 1 species
AUGCUUUGGAACAUUCCAGAGCCAAGAAAAGCCCUUCUUGUCACACAUGAUUUCUUAAUAAUUAGGGCCAGCUGUGCUUGGGCAAUUCCGGUCAAGCCAGAUGCCAAAACCCAUUGCAGACACAGGAAGAGCCUCAUCGUCAAGUCUCCAAACAAGCAGUCGAAAAUCAAAAGAGAAGACCAGCAAAGUUGGAAAGCCAAGGGCUCCUUCCUCCCAGGAAGAGCAAUGAAAAGUAAGGUAAGAUGUGCCAGCUCUUCUCCCCUGCCUGAUACACCUGUGUGCCUGGAUGAAGGUAAGAGAUGCUCUCCCAGGUAUGAAGCCCCCCCUGGAACCCCAUCAGUAUAAGGUCCAAGUUCAGCACAGCUAGAAAAGAAUAACAGGUCUUGCUCGUGUGACGGACACUGUGCAUCCCCUCCAAUAGCCGGUCUUGCCCCCACCUCUUCUCAUACUUGCUCUGCAUCCACGUGCUCAGGGAAGGUAGCUCCCCCCAUCUCUGGGGGGUGGAACAUAUGGGUCAAAAUUAAUCACAGUGGUCUCCUCUUUGACCGUGAUUAGCUUAAGCAUUAGCAUCUUGACCCAGACCUUACCUGAGUGUUAGCCUGGGAAAGCUUUUCUUUGUUAAUUAAAAAUAAAAAGAGGAAUUCCCGUCGUGGCGCAGUGGUUAAUGAAUCCGACUAAGAACCAUGAGGUUUGUGGGUUCGAUCCCUGGCCUUGCUCAGUGGGUUAAGGAACCGGCGUUUCUGUGAGCUGUGUGUACGUCGCCGCAGAUGCACUCGGAUCCUGCGUUGCUGUGACUGUGGCUGUGGUGUAGGCUGGCGGCUGUAGCUCCAAUUAGAUCCCUAGCCUGGGAACCUCCAUAUGCUGCAGGAGCGGCCCUAGAAAAGGCAAAAAGACAAAAAAUAAAUAAUAAAAAGCUGCCCAGGUGCGGCCACCUCUCUCCGUUGCUGGACACCUUUAUACCUGCAGGGGAUACCUGGAACUGCUCUAACCCUGGGGACUGGGAGAAGAGAUGGCGCCACUCAAUAGGGAUCUUGCGCUGCCGAAUCUCAAAAGAAAGCACGUGGGUCCUUGAUGCCCUCACAGACCACUGUUCUCAGCAGAUCUGGAACUGCCAUCUCUCUGGAGCUCUGGUCAUGUGAGAGAGUAGACUUCUUAUUUCAACCACUUUAAGGAAGGGGGGGGGUCUUCUACUGCACCUGGGCAGAGGGGUUCUACUAGACACACCCUUUAGAAGGUCAUCCUGCUUUGUGAUUGGCCAAUCAGGCAUUCAGGCAAGUUGGUAAAGGAACCACAGGAUCAGGCCCAUAAGUUCUCCCAGCACCUCGAUCCACUUGCUAGUUUUUUAAAAAAUCAUUGAAAACUAUAAUUUUUUCCACAUCCAUUCAUUCACUCACUUAAUGACCAUACAGUUAGCUCUUCCUAUGUCCUUGCUGUGAAGGACAAAAAGAGUAGCUAGCAUAGUAGUGGCAGUAACCUAGCAUUCACAGAGAACUUCACACACACUAUUUGAUGCUUAAGAGAACUUGGUAAAAAUCAGUAUUAUCAUUCCCGUUUUACCAAUGACAAAUCUGAGGUUUAAAAAAGAUUGUCCGGGAGUUCCCAUCGAGGCUCAGCCGUAAUAAACUUGACUAGUAUCCAUGAGGACGUGGGCUCAAUCCAUGGCCUCUCUCAGUGGGUUAAAGAUCCUGCAUUGCAUGAGCUGCGGUGUAGGUUGCAGAGGCAGCUCAGAUCCUGCAUUGCUGUGGCUGUGGCGUAGGCUGGCAGCUGCAGCUCCAAUUGACCCCUAGCCUAGGAACCUCCAUAUGCUGAGAGUGUGGCCCUAAAAAAAAUAAAAUAAAAUAAAAUAAAGAUUGUUCAGAUUUCCACAACCUGACUCCAAGUCUAAGGUUCUUUCCACCAGAGCCUGAAUUGUAUCUUGCCCUUCCACCUUGGUCUUUAGACCUAAACGCCAGGAGAUGAGUCUCUAUACAUUUAAAAUGAAAAAAUACACAAGCCCGAGGUGGCAAACAGCUAUUUGGGGAAUAUCACAGGGAGGUAAGUGGUUAAAUGCCUCAUACAUAGGGCAAAAAAGCACAGGAGGAACUUGUCAUUCUUGAUAGAGAAGCAGAAUGUAUGUUUAUUGCAAAUGGAAAACAAUCUUUCCCACACAGGGACCAAGAGCCUGUAUUUAGAAGCUGAUUUAAUCAUGUGAAAACGGUUGUUGCCUUCAAACAAGCAAAAAGUGCAUACACCAAGUCCCAGUUUCUUAUCAGAUCUGCAGUACCUACAUUCGGCAUCUGUAAAUAAUUAAUUCUCACCUUGAAAAGUUUGGAUAAAACAGCUUCAUUUGAAAAGCAAUAAUGUGUAGAUGUUGAAACUAUUCGAGGCAAAAAAUUUAAGGUAACCUCCAUUUGCCUCAAUUGCAACCCAAGUGAAGGAAGUGGAUUAGCGACAGAUUCUUAUCUUUACUGAUUCAGAGAAUUCAUAGCAGGUACUCAAGCCCUUUAAAACUGUGCUGUCUAAUGGAGAGCAGACUUGUGUUUGCCGGGGUCCUACUGUACAGCACGGGGAACUCUGUCCAAUCUCUUUGGUUAGAACAUGGUGGAAGAUAGUAUGAAAAAAAAGUGAAUGAAUAUAUAUAUUUACAAUGUUCCUUCAGUUUCUGCUGUAAGCAAGAUUGACUGGGUAAGUCAACUGACUGGGUACGUUUGUUACAGCGGAAAUUGAAGGAACAUUAUAAAUCAACUAUGCUUUAGUGAAGACAUAUUUAAAAGAACUGUGCGGUCUGAUGCAGUAAGCUGUAGCCACCAGAUGUGACUAUUUCACUUGUGUUUCAUUUGAAAUUAAAUACAAGUUGAAAACUCAAUUUCUCAGGUGCACGAGUUACAUCCGAUGUGCUCAAGAGCCAUAUACGGUGAUUGGCUCUCAUACUGGACAGUGAAAACAUGGAACAUGAUCAUUGCAGAAACAGUCUGGGGGUCACUGCUGCUCUAGACACUGGCAAAUGACAGAUGGAGAUGAGAAUGUAAAAUUAUCUUUUAAAAGAAAAAGGGGAGAAUAUGGAGUUCCUAUUAUAAUACCUUUGCCUUAUUUUCUAUAGUGAUAGCUUCAGAGUUGCUUUGUUCAUUCAUUAUAAAACAAGUAUCUGCCUUCUGCCAGGCACUGUGCUAGUGCAUAGUUUCAGUUCUGCUGGGGACUGGCAGUUGUUUCUUCCAGAACCUAGCACCUAGGGCUGUGCAGGAAAAUAAUCCUACUUAGGGAGUUCCUGUCAUGGCUCAGUGGUUAACGAAUCUGACUAGGAACCAUGAGGUGACAGGUUCGAUCCCUGGCCUUGCUCAGUGGGUUAAGGAUCCGGUGUUGCUGUGAGAUGUGGUGUAGGUUGCAGAUGCAGCUUGGAUCCCGCGUUGCUGUGGCUCUGGCGUAGGCCAGCGGCUACAGCUCCGAUUAGACCCCUAGCCUGGGAACCUCCAUAUGCCACGAGAGCGGCCCUAGAAAAGGCAGAAAGACAAAAUAAAUAAUAAAAAUCCUACUCAAUAAUCCUUCACUGAUGGAAUAAGGCAGACCUUCAGACUUCUUCCUCUGCCCUUGUACAGGUCAGGAAUGAGACUAGCAAGUCCCUUGCUGAGAAUAAGGCACAUUCUUAGUUGCCUACCUGAGAUCUUUUCCUUUCUUCUUCCUUGUGGAGAGAAUUCCACUUUUAUUCAGAAUAAUCAUGUCCCCAGCCAGGGCAUUCAAACCACUGGUUUAUCAUCCUCUCUCUGUUUCCUGUAAAAUAAAUAAAACGUUUGUUUUAUUAGGCCACUAACUUUCAGGAUUGUUUGUUCUUCAGUGAAAGAUAACUGGAAUAUAUUUUGGGAUCUCUCACACCUGUAAGACCAAGCCAUUUAAACACUGACUUCUCAGAAUUUUAUUUUAGUUCUUUGAACGACAUCAUUAUAUUGAGCUAAUUCAUCACAGUCCUAUCAUCCUCCUGCCAAACUUCCUGUCCUGCUCACUGAAUCUAGGACCAUCUGGUACAGUUGUGGAAGUUGUGCACUGCCCAAAGCUGUCACGCCAAGGAGUUAGGUGGUGGUUGGAAAAGGAGUCUUAAUGUGUUGUAUAACCUAAUGGCUGUCCUGAUUGGGACAGUCAGUCCCUUAAAAAUGUUCAGACCAUCGAUUCUCUUUGCUGAUAUUUUAUUGCCAAUUUAUUAUUUUUUUUAAGGAUUGCACCCAAGGCAUAUGGAGGUUUCCAGGCUAGGGGUUGAAUCCGAGCUGUAGCUGCCAGCCUAUGCCACAGCCACAGCAAUGCUGGAUCUGAGCGGCAUCUGCAACCUACACCAUAGCUUAUGACAACGCUGGAUCCUUAAGCCCCUGAGCGAGGCCAGACAUCAAAACCACGUCCUCACGAAUACUUGUCCUAUUCGUUAACCCACUAAGCCAUGACGGGAGCUCUUAUUUCCAUUCUGAAGGUAGCACAAUGCUAUGUUUACCCCAUUUUCAAUUUUUUUUUUUUUUUUUGUAUCUUUGUUGUCUGAAAGUACUCUAUGUGCCUAUCCCAGGUUUUGGGUAACUUUUCCCUCUUUAAACUCCUUUUCCCCUCUCUCGCAACAAGAAUAACUUAUUUUCCUAAUGAUAUACAAUAUUUGCCUAUUUGAAAAAAUUAAUCAGUACGUAAAGUAUAAUGAAGAAAGCAAGAAAAAACCCUGAAAUCCCAUCGCUGAGACAACUGUCAUAAACACUUUGAUGACUUUUUCACGUGUUUGUAUACACAUGGGCAUUUCUGGAUCGUUGGGUCUGCUUCCUCUAGUCCUUUUCCCAGAUGAUAAAUGAAGAACCGUCUCUUUAGAGCCCAUUACAAAUUCAGUUGUCAGACUUUGCCCAGAUGCUUACACUGCUUGGCAGUGUUCAAAAAUCUGUCUCAUUUCCUUUUGACCACCUUUGGUUAAUUGACGUCUUCAGUUCACCUCAAGUUCUAUCCACUUUGCUGAAAAGGGAGUUCCCAUUGUGGCUCAGCAGUAGCAAACCCAACUAGUAUCCAUGAGGAUGUGGGUUCAAUCCCUGGCCUCGUUCACUGGGUUAAUGAUCCAGUGCUGCCACGAGCUGUGAUGUAGGUCACAGACUCAGCUUGGAUCCUGCAUUGCUGUGGCUGUGGUGUAGGCUGGCAGCUACAGCUCGGAUUCAACCCCUAGGCUGGGAAACUCCAUAUGCCAUCAGUGUGCACCCCCCCAAAAAAAAAACACUUUGCUGAAAAGAGUGAGUCCCUCACCUUGGGAGGGACAGUUGGCAAGCUUAGGAGACAAAAGCUGGGAAAGUGAAGCCUAGUAGACCAGGAUGGCAGAUUCA